GUUGAGGGCAGACAGAGUGAGAGUAGAGAAAAGAAUGGGUAAAAGAGAGAACAAUUGAAAGGUCUGCAGGAGUUGAAGGAUUGAGAGGUUGCAAUAAAAAAGACAACGAAGAUGGUGACCAUAGAACCCCGCUUGAUGUUUUAUGAGGAAGUCCAUCAGUGCCCACACAACACUCAAAGAAUACAGGAAUGGAAUAUGAGGCCGAGUACACAGAUCCACUUCCUGUCAAGUUUCCCUCCUGUGUGAUGACUGGCCCCGCCCUAAUGUGUUGCACCUGUUUCUCAUUUCAGUAUUUAGUCUCUGUCGUCCCCUCCUUCAAUGCCAGAUUGUCUUUGCCCUCGUGUAA